rnacentral:rRNA from 1 species
UUAAGCGACUAAGCGUACACGGUGGAUGCCCUGGCAGUCAGAGGCGAUGAAGGACGUGCUAAUCUGCGAUAAGCGUCGGUAAGGUGAUAUGAACCGUUAUAACCGGCGAUUUCCGAAUGGGGAAACCCAGUGUGUUUCGACACACUAUCAUUAACUGAAUCCAUAGGUUAAUGAGGCGAACCGGGGGAACUGAAACAUCUAAGUACCCCGAGGAAAAGAAAUCAACCGAGAUUCCCCCAGUAGCGGCGAGCGAACGGGGAGCAGCCCAGAGCCUGAAUCAGUGUGUGUGUUAGUGGAAGCGUCUGGAAAGGCGCGCGAUACAGGGUGACAGCCCCGUACACAAAAAUGCACAUGCUGUGAGCUCGAUGAGUAGGGCGGGACACGUGGUAUCCUGUCUGAAUAUGGGGGGACCAUCCUCCAAGGCUAAAUACUCCUGACUGACCGAUAGUGAACCAGUACCGUGAGGGAAAGGCGAAAAGAACCCCGGCGAGGGGAGUGAAAAAGAACCUGAAACCGUGUACGUACAAGCAGUGGGAGCACGCUUAGGCGUGUGACUGCGUACCUUUUGUAUAAUGGGUCAGCGACUUAUAUUCUGUAGCAAGGUUAACCGAAUAGGGGAGCCGAAGGGAAACCGAGUCUUAACUGGGCGUUAAGUUGCAGGGUAUAGACCCGAAACCCGGUGAUCUAGCCAUGGGCAGGUUGAAGGUUGGGUAACACUAACUGGAGGACCGAACCGACUAAUGUUGAAAAAUUAGCGGAUGACUUGUGGCUGGGGGUGAAAGGCCAAUCAAACCGGGAGAUAGCUGGUUCUCCCCGAAAGCUAUUUAGGUAGCGCCUCGUGAAUUCAUCUCCGGGGGUAGAGCACUGUUUCGGCAAGGGGGUCAUCCCGACUUACCAACCCGAUGCAAACUGCGAAUACCGGAGAAUGUUAUCACGGGAGACACACGGCGGGUGCUAACGUCCGUCGUGAAGAGGGAAACAACCCAGACCGCCAGCUAAGGUCCCAAAGUCAUGGUUAAGUGGGAAACGAUGUGGGAAGGCCCAGACAGCCAGGAUGUUGGCUUAGAAGCAGCCAUCAUUUAAAGAAAGCGUAAUAGCUCACUGGUCGAGUCGGCCUGCGCGGAAGAUGUAACGGGGCUAAACCAUGCACCGAAGCUGCGGCAGCGACGCUGAUGCGUUGUUGGGUAGGGGAGCGUUCUGUAAGCCUGCGAAGGUGUGCUGUGAGGCAUGCUGGAGGUAUCAGAAGUGCGAAUGCUGACAUAAGUAACGAUAAAGCGGGUGAAAAGCCCGCUCGCCGGAAGACCAAGGGUUCCUGUCCAACGUUAAUCGGGGCAGGGUGAGUCGACCCCUAAGGCGAGGCCGAAAGGCGUAGUCGAUGGGAAACAGGUUAAUAUUCCUGUACUUGGUGUUACUGCGAAGGGGGGGACGGAGAAGGCUAUGUUGGCCGGGCGACGGUUGUCCCGGUUUAAGCGUGUAGGCUGGUUUUCCAGGCAAAUCCGGAAAAUCAAGGCUGAGGCGUGAUGACGAGGCACUACGGUGCUGAAGCAACAAAUGCCCUGCUUCCAGGAAAAGCCUCUAAGCAUCAGGUAACAUCAAAUCGUACCCCAAACCGACACAGGUGGUCAGGUAGAGAAUACCAAGGCGCUUGAGAGAACUCGGGUGAAGGAACUAGGCAAAAUGGUGCCGUAACUUCGGGAGAAGGCACGCUGAUAUGUAGGUGAAGCGACUUGCUCGUGGAGCUGAAAUCAGUCGAAGAUACCAGCUGGCUGCAACUGUUUAUUAAAAACACAGCACUGUGCAAACACGAAAGUGGACGUAUACGGUGUGACGCCUGCCCGGUGCCGGAAGGUUAAUUGAUGGGGUUAGCGCAAGCGAAGCUCUUGAUCGAAGCCCCGGUAAACGGCGGCCGUAACUAUAACGGUCCUAAGGUAGCGAAAUUCCUUGUCGGGUAAGUUCCGACCUGCACGAAUGGCGUAAUGAUGGCCAGGCUGUCUCCACCCGAGACUCAGUGAAAUUGAACUCGCUGUGAAGAUGCAGUGUACCCGCGGCAAGACGGAAAGACCCCGUGAACCUUUACUAUAGCUUGACACUGAACAUUGAGCCUUGAUGUGUAGGAUAGGUGGGAGGCUUUGAAGUGUGGACGCCAGUCUGCAUGGAGCCGACCUUGAAAUACCACCCUUUAAUGUUUGAUGUUCUAACGUGGACCCGUAAUCCGGGUUGCGGACAGUGUCUGGUGGGUAGUUUGACUGGGGCGGUCUCCUCCUAAAGAGUAACGGAGGAGCACGAAGGUUGGCUAAUCCUGGUCGGACAUCAGGAGGUUAGUGCAAUGGCAUAAGCCAGCUUGACUGCGAGCGUGACGGCGCGAGCAGGUGCGAAAGCAGGUCAUAGUGAUCCGGUGGUUCUGAAUGGAAGGGCCAUCGCUCAACGGAUAAAAGGUACUCCGGGGAUAACAGGCUGAUACCGCCCAAGAGUUCAUAUCGACGGCGGUGUUUGGCACCUCGAUGUCGGCUCAUCACAUCCUGGGGCUGAAGUAGGUCCCAAGGGUAUGGCUGUUCGCCAUUUAAAGUGGUACGCGAGCUGGGUUUAGAACGUCGUGAGACAGUUCGGUCCCUAUCUGCCGUGGGCGCUGGAGAACUGAGGGGGGCUGCUCCUAGUACGAGAGGACCGGAGUGGACGCAUCACUGGUGUUCGGGUUGUCAUGCCAAUGGCACUGCCCGGUAGCUAAAUGCGGAAGAGAUAAGUGCUGAAAGCAUCUAAGCACGAAACUUGCCCCGAGAUGAGUUCUCCCUGACUCCUUGAGAGUCCUGAAGGAACGUUGAAGACGACGACGUUGAUAGGCCGGGUGUGUAAGCGCAGCGAUGCGUUGAGCUAACCGGUACUAAUGAACCGUGAGGCUUAACCUU